AAAUAAGUGUAUGUGAACAAUGAAAUCUGCCCUUGCAUCUUCAUUAAGAAAUCCCCUUUAGGAUUUCUGAGCAUUGCUGUUUAUGUUGAUGACCUAAAUAUAAUUGGAACUCCAAAGGAGAUUGAUGGUGCACGAACUCAUAUGAAAGAAGAGUUCGAAAACGAAAAAUCUUGAAAAGA
rnacentral:sRNA from 1 species